UUUCACACUUUUGUGAGAAGCGGCAGGCUAAAAAUAGCCUGAGCUGUCAUUUCUCAAGGCUGGAUAGUGAAAUACAGUAACUGUUAUAUAAUUAUAUUCAAAUUGUAAUUUUUAUUCAUAUUCAAAUAUAUAAUUAUACAGCCUGAAAAUCCCAGGGUAUCUUUUACAGAAAAAAAAAAUUAAAAAAAUAUAAAAGGGUACUGUAAAGGUUAAAAAGAUCUGUAGUGGGUAAUCAGGGGUGGUAUAGUACGUCAUCAAAAGGUGCGCGCAACACUUCCCGAUGCGGCUUUUUUAUGUCAAAAUACUUCGAUUCGAUCACAACAGAAACACCUGAGAUAUUCUGUUUAUCAGAAUUAAAUUAUGAAGCUAAACACUUGGGGGUCAGCAGUAUGAUAUCCGUAGACAGAUGAACAUAAACUGCAUAUAGUAAUUCAUGCAUUUCUCGGAAAUAAAAUGACACGUCAAAAAAUCAGACUUGUAGAAAGGACAAUACCCGCUUGUUGUGGAUGUUUGUGAAAAAGUCAGAAAUGAAGACCACAAAAGUAGUCGUUGUUUGAGGUUCACACACUGGCAAUAUGUGCAGACACCGUUCAAAACAGUUCACUGUUACGUGUGACCACUACCGUACAAUAUCUAGCCAUGAACAGCUUUUGUAGACGGAAUUUAAUGUGAUUUUACGCGACUUCAAACAAUUGUGAUUUUUAUUGAAACAUUUUUUGUUUUGUCUGUCUGUGUUGAAGUCACAGAGUCUUGUCAGUACCUCUCCUUUCUUCUAAAUAACAUUUGACAGAUUUUGAUGAAAGGCAACAGCAGUAAUAAACUUUGUUUGAAAUGUAGUUGACACUAAUGCUCAUUACGGGUAAAACACAACAAUGUAAAUAUUCUUGUUAUCUUUAUGUUUCGGUCAAUAAACGUUCACGAAUUAUACUACAUUGCCACUUUAUCAAUUUUUGUGUGUUUUUAAUGAAAUUUCUGAGUUAUAAUUAGUGUAGUUGCGCAAAACCACAACAUUUUCCAGUUUAAUGGUUUCAAGAGUUAUUAUAUUCUGAUUUAUGUUGAUUUUGAAGUACAGGCAGUGCAUCUCCACUUCAACCUUUUUAUAAUUUUCAUAAUUACAAAAACAUGUACAUGGUGUAUAUCAUGGCAAUAACUGGUUUUAAUGAUAACUUAUCAAUUACAUUCAGAGCUUUCUUUUCCGUGUAAUUCCUUCCUCUGUAGAUGUUGACAUAUUCUUUGACAUUUUUUCCACAGAAAGCUGCUGUCGUCUAUUCAGAAUGUGGAUGAAAACAAAGGCCAUUUAAAAUAAAACACCUUUAAUUUCAUAAUAAGAAGUUGUUGAGGAUAUUGUGCGUUUUAGAAUAUGUGAUAAUAAAUUACCAAUAGUC